rnacentral:lncRNA from 1 species
GGGGUCACUUUGGAGGCAUGAAUUGAGCCAGAUUAUUAGUAAAAUGCCUUCCAACUGUGAGCUUCUGUGCUGUGUAGGCGAUAGGAGGGCCUGGAUCUUGUGUGGGGAUCUCUCUACUCAUGCAGGCCUUAAGAAGGUGAGGAAACAGAGACCUGGAGAGAAUAAAUGGCUUGUUGAGCCCAGGAUGGCCCUGGGAUUGGCUUUGGGGUUCUGCCUUCCUCCUCCUGACUCCACCAUGGAUCCCACACUCUGGGCCGGUGAAUGGUGGCUAACCUACAAGAUGUUUAAAUGCGGAGUGGACUUCCUUAUUCCCUCAGCAGAUUGACCCAAAAGGGGAAAAAAGAGAAAAACAAAAUCCAUCCAAAGCCCAGUGACCAUCCCUCAGUGUCUGGGCUGGGCAGCUCCCAAAAGAAAACCUGGCCAAGGGAUAUGCACAGAAUUACUUUUUCUCUUUUUGCUUCCUGGCAGCUACAAAUUAGGGGACAACUAGGCUGCUCAGUGGAUAGAGAGCCAGGUCUAGAGAUGGGAGGUCCUGGGUUCAAACCUAGCCUCAGAAAACUUGCCUGGCCCUUACUUUUCUUCUGUCUUGGAACCAAAACUUAAUACUAUUUCUAAAACAGAAGACUUGGGAUUGGAGAACUGUCCAAAUCCUGACUUCAUUGAUUUAUAGUGGACAACUCUGGCACCUUCUCCUUCACAAGAUCUCUGUGCAUCUUCACAGCUCUUAGCACUCUCUUCCUCUUGAAAUUAAUUUGUAUUCAGCUAAUUGUGUAAAUGCUGUAUCUCCCGACAACUAUCCAAGUAGAAUGUAACUCCUUGAGGGCAAGGACUGUUUACCCGUUGUAUCUUUAGUGCAAAGUAAAGAACUAAUAAAGCAAUAACAUUACUAAUUAUUUGAUAUUGG